UCUACCCACACGCUUCCUCUUGUUUCCCGCCCACCUGGCCACUCUAUCCGCCGCGAACUUCUCUAUGAUUCUCCGCCUCCCCCCGAUUGUUAUCUCGGCCAUCCACCUCCCGCACCCGUCGCUUCCGGUAUCUGGGCUUCCCUUCUGGUUCUGCUGAACGGAAAGGGCGGCCAGAGGGAGAAUGCCUUUACAGAAGAGCUGGCAACGGUGAAGGAGGUACCGUGAUUUCUAAGGGAAGACCCCAGGAAGAAGAAAAUAUUAUGAAAUUGUCAUGAGAAAAGCUGAUCAAGGAAUGUAGAGGGAGAUGUAUUAUACAGCUGUGUCAGGCGGUAAAUUAAUAAAAAUAUUGUGUAUAUUUUAAGAAUUUGGGGUUGCAUAUGGUGAGUGUUAUCUUUUCAAUUUUGUAUUUGGUUGAGAUUUAUUUUCUCAAAAUAAACAUUCAUAUGCAUA